UCCUGACAGCCCAGGAGGGACCUGGACUGGACCGGAUGGUGACAGGCCUCAUCAGGCGCUACAGCGAGGCGGGCGUGGCUCCCCCUAUACUCCUUUAUGCGGACUGUGGCUGCUGCAAGGAGGCGGGAGGGGAGAGCGAGCUGAAGGCCAGGUUCAGCGGCUGGCCAGACCUCGUCAUCCGGCUGGACGCCUGGCACUUCCUUCGGCGGCUUGCGGCCGGAUGCACGACCGACGCCCACGCCCUGUACCCCGUCUUCAUGGCCAUGCUCUCCGUCUGCCUGUUCGAGUGGGACCCUGAAGAUGUGGCCCUUCUGCACCACGCCAAGAGGGAGGAGCUCCGGAGGGAGGGUGUGCCCGGCAUCUCCGAGGCUCUGGUGGACAGCUGAUUGACCAAGGCCCAGUUGGCGCUGUACUGCAGGCGGAGGACCCGCGGAGAGGAGGCCACCAUCCGCCAGGUGGAGGCCCUGCUGCAGGAGCUGAUAGGGGACAAAGGCAGGGACCUGCUGGGCGGUCCCCUCCUGGACCGGGUGAGGAUGGAGCACAUCUGGUGGGUUCAGAAGAGGCACGUCAAGUGCAUCCAGGACCUGCCAGGUGUGCCUCUGUACACAAAGACCGGCACCACCACCACCAAGGAGGGCGUCGUCCUCACCAAGUACAGGUGUGCGCGAGGUUCAACGUUCCUGGAGUCCUUCCACUGCCACCUGAACCGCUUUAUUCCAGACGGGGAAGUGCAUGCAAGACAUGGAUCCUGAGGGGGAGGAGACGGAGCAGCUGCUGGAGGACCUGGGCGACGAGGCAGAGGAUGAGGGCUUCACAGACGACACCGAGGCUAGUCUGGAGGUCUUCUCUGCCCUCAUUUCGUUACCACCUGCUCAGCCCUCCACCAGUGGUUCCUGGUCCGCUGCUCCACCUCC
ensembl:lncRNA